rnacentral:sRNA from 14 species
GACAGCUCCUGCUAAAAGCAAUUGCAUAACAGCCAAGAACAUUGGACUUCUCAAGCGCGCUGCUUCAAGCGUCUUGUGCGCCAAAGGAGGAGGGGUGCA